AGAGUUUGAUCAUGGCUCAGAAUUAACGCUGGCGGCGUGCCUAACACAUGCAAGUCGCACGAGAAAGUGGAGCAAUCCAUGAGUAAAGUGGCGCACGGGUGAGUAACACGUGAAUCAUCUACCUCCGAGUGGGGAAUAACCUAGAGAAAUCUGGGCUAAUACCGCAUAACACUUACGAGUCAAAGCAGCAAUGCGCUUGGAGAGGAGUUCGCGGCCGAUUAGUUAGUUGGCGGGGUAAUGGCCCACCAAGACGAUGAUCGGUAUCCGGCCUGAGAGGGCGCACGGACACACUGGAACUGAAACACGGUCCAGACUCCUACGGGAGGCAGCAGUGGGGAAUUUUGCGCAAUGGGGGAAACCCUGACGCAGCAACGCCGCGUGGAGGAUGAAAUAUCUUGGUAUGUAAACUCCUUUCGAUGGGGAAGAUUAUGACGGUACCCAUAGAAGAAGCCCCGGCUAACUUCGUGCCAGCAGCCGCGGUAAUACGAGGGGGGCAAGCGUUGUUCGGAUUUAUUGGGCGUAAAGGGUGCGUAGGCGGUUUGAUAAGUCUGAUGUGAAAUCUAUGGGCUCAACCCAUAGUCUGCAUUAGAAACUGUCGGGCUUGAGUAUGGGAGAGGUGAGUGGAAUUUCCGGUGUAGCGGUGAAAUGCGUAGAUAUCGGAAGGAACACCUGUGGCGAAAGCGGCUCACUGGACCAUAACUGACGCUGAUGCACGAAAGCUAGGGGAGCAAACAGGAUUAGAUACCCUAGUAGUCC
rnacentral:rRNA from 1 species